rnacentral:rRNA from 1 species
UACGUAGGGUGCAAGCGUUAAUCGGAAUACUGGGCGUAAAGCGUGCGCAGGCGGUGAUGUAAGACAGAUGUGAAAUCCCCGGGCUCAACCUGGGAACUGCAUUUGUGACUGCAUCGCUGGAGUGCGGCAGAGGGGGAUGGAAUUCCGCGUGUAGCAGUGAAAUGCGUAGAUAUGUGGAGGAAUACCGAUGCGAAGGCAGCCCCCUGGGAUAACACUGA